rnacentral:rRNA from 1 species
UUGAGUCUCGUAGAGGGGGGUAGAAUUCCAGGUGUAGCGGUGAAAUGCGUAGAGAUCUGGAGGAAUACCGGUGGCGAAGGCGGCCCCCUGGACGAAGACUGACGCUCAGGUGCGAAAGCGUGGGGAGCAAACAGGAUUAGAUACCCUGGUAGUCCACGCCGUAAACGAUGUCGACUUGGAGGUUGUGCCCUUGAGGCGUGGCUUCCGGAGCUAACGCGUUAAGUCGACCGCCUGGGGAGUACGGCCGCAAGGUUAAAACUCAAAUGAAUUGACGGGGGCCCGCACAAGCGGUGGAGCAUGUGGUUUAAUUCGAUGCAACGCGAAGAACCUUACCUGGUCUUGACAUCCACGGAAGUUUUCAGAGAUGAGAAUGUGCCUUCGGGAACCGUGAGACAGGUGCUGCAUGGCUGUCGUCAGCUCGUGUUGUGAAAUGUUGGGUUAAGUCCCGCAACGAGCGCAACCCUUAUCCUUUGUUGCCAGCGG